GAGAGAGAUCUUCUUACUGUGCAUUCCAGGAAUGAAACCAUGGAUGUAUAGAGCUACAAGUAUAAGGCAGCAAAAAAUGCUUUCAUUAGGCGACAUGAGAAGACUCGAUCUGUCUAGUGUUGACACAGGCAUUAGAUGUCUUCUUGAAUCUCUCAUUCUCCUGGACAAGGGCAGUGGUGACAGAUCUCAUCUGGGGCAGAGAGAGGAUGAGUAACGGAGAGACAAUUCUCAUCUGGUAAGUAAUAUGUCUGCUUUCUUUUUUUCUUUGUUUUUUAGUAACUGAUUCUAAAGGUGAAUGAUCUGCCCCUAUGUUUCAGAGAGACACUUUACAUCACCUGUUACAAGUCCUUUUGCUCUAUCAGAAUGUCACAGCUCAACAGCCCCAUGGCAUAAUACAGAUGAUAUUUUUGACA
rnacentral:lncRNA from 1 species